ACGAACGCUGGCGGCAGGCUUAACACAUGCAAGUCGAGCGCACUCUUCGGAGUGAGCGGCGGACGGGUUAGUAACGCGUGGGAACGUGCCCUCUUCUACGGAAUAGCCCAGGGAAACUUGGAUUAAUGCCGUAUACGCCCCGCAAGGGGGAAAGAUUUAUCGGAGGAGGAUCGGCCCGCGUUGGAUUAGGUAGUUGGUGGGGUAAUGGCCUACCAAGCCGACGAUCCAUAGCUGGUUUGAGAGGAUGAUCAGCAACACUGGGACUGAGACACGGCCCAGACUCCUACGGGAGGCAGCAGUGGGGAAUCUUGGACAAUGGGGGAAACCCUGAUCCAGCCAUGCCGCGUGAUCGAUGAAGGCCUUAGGGUUGUAAAGAUCUUUCAGCUGGGAAGAUAAUGACGGUACCAGCAGAAGAAGCCCCGGCUAACUCCGU
rnacentral:rRNA from 1 species